GCCCCGGCCCCCCGCUACGGGCAGGGCCCGGGCGCGGCCUGCUGCGGCUGCGGCCUGCCCUGGGAGGUGGCCGAGGCCCGGGAGCGGUCCGUGGCGACCGGGUGCGUGUGUCCCCGUCAGGCGGCAAGGACGCGGGGGGGGGGGGGAUGCCCGCGCCCUGGCCGGGUGCCCUGGAGGGGUUUUGAGAGGAACCCAUGUCCCUGUCGGGUGGCAGUGGCCGCUGCGUGCCCAGGGCCAGGGUAGGAGACGGACAUCCUCAUCUUCAACAGCAAUAGAUUUCUUGAUAAACGGCAACUACAACAAAGCCAAACUGAUCUGCUGGGUAAAGGCCAACACGGCCCAGCUGGUCACGUGCCUGCGGCUUGUCAGACGCCUCCACAUGAAAGACAUCCGGCACCGGUCCUGUGAGAAGAAGGUGCGAGGAACAGGUAAGAAGAGGAGAGGCUUCUCGAGCUCCUCGUGCAACCCCGGCUGGGGCAGCGUGUGCCCGGCGCAUUGGCAACGCGAAAGGCAGCGGUGCAAGCGGGUGCUGCUGUCCACGCGGGGUGGGAGCUGGGGCCGGAGAGAACAGGCACCCGUGGCCGUCAGGUGCCCACGCACGGGUGCCCAGGGCCCAAGAGGAGGGGCCCGCACCCUGGCAGGGUGCCCACGUCCCCGCCAGGUUCCCGUGUGGCGGUUGCUCCCCGUGGCCCUGUACGGUGGCCCUGGCCAGCGCCUGCCCGCGGCCCACGGGCUCCCUCAGGCCUGAGCACCUCCGAGGCUGGGGCGAGGGCAAGCAGCACGGCAGGAGGAGGGGCGGGUGUUGGGAAGCGGGUGGAGAACAGUUCCAACCGUCGCCUUGUCAUCCAGCUGACAGUGAACUCUCUGCAGGGUGGCAGCCAGCUGGUGCGUCGGGACACGCCUCAGCCCACCGAAGGCUCCCGCGGCUCUGCUCAGAGCAAUAAAGUGGAUCGUUACACCGGUA